GGUAGUGUGGCCGAGUGGUCCAAGGCGCUGGGUUGAGGCUCUAGUCUCUUCGGAGGCGUGGGUUCAAAUCCCACUGCUGCCA